rnacentral:piRNA from 1 species
UNGAUGUUGCCCUGGAUCUGGGUGCGAGU